ensembl:lncRNA
GAACCGAACUGCAGUGCAGAGCCGGAAUGGGGGGCUUGGCCCCAAUCCAGCACGGUCAAAAUUAGCUCUCUGUUGAAUUACAUGCAGUCAGCCAGUGGAAGCGGCUGAGAUCCUGACGCCCCAGUCCCGCAGCCUUGUAUGGGGGGUCCAAACCCCGCAAGGCUGCUGCUCGGCUCCGCUUUCGUCCAAGAAAGCCUUUUCCAACAGCAACUUUACAGCAAGGGACAAGAACAAAGACUUUAUCUAGCUGACGGCUGUGUUCCUGAACCCGGUGGCACGGAGAGGAACGACCACGAAAGAUCGACAUUCCUUCUGUCUGAUGCAGGAUAGAGAACGGCCCUCUGGGGAAAUUGUAUCCUCAUGUUUAUUCUUUUUUAUUUCCUAAAUCAUGUAUAUCUUUAUUUUUUAUGGUUAUGGCGUGCGGUACAGAUGAAUUAUGACGCUGGGGCUGUUUCCCCAUCUAUGUGAUUAAUAACAUUUUAGAAAAACCUGGGACUCUAAGCCUUGAUGAUAUGUUCUUCGGAGGGGGCGGCAGUAAAGACACACAGCACCUCAAGACAGACUGGAGCUUCACUAAAGACCCACAUGUCUGUGUUUGUAAACUCCAAAGGGGCCCUCGGGGGUCCGGCGGCAGCGGCACGUCUUCCACUUGUCCACUUCAACUUCACACGGCUGGACUCUUUCAUACCUCUGUGAACAAACCCACCGAGAAAUGUUAAUGAUGUUCUGUAUUGACAUGCAAUGUGACAAACGCCACGUGUUUUUAACAACAUCAGGGUUCCCACAUGGACAAACAGAACUGGUGUCUUCACUCAAAAAUUGGUGAAGAAACUAUUUCUACACAUAAAGAAAUUUCACAAAAAAAAAAAAAAAAAAUAUUUUCAAUCAGAAAUUAAAAACAUUUUUACAAAAAAAAAAAAAAGAAUUGACAAAUUUAAAUCAGAAAUUAAAUGUCACCCAAAAAUUGGUGUAGAAACAAUUUUCAAUCAUAAACUAAUUCCACCAAAAAAAAAAAAAAAAAUGUAGAAACAAUUUUCAGUCAGAAAUUGGAAGUCAAUUUCAAAAGUAAUUACAAAUAAUUAAAAGGCCGAAAAAGUAUAUUCUUGCAAAACAUACUCAUAUAAUCUGUUUUAUUUGGAACUUUGAUUUUAUAUUUCUUAUUUCUUAACAGUGCAUGGUCAAAUAUCAGUGAAUCCUAAGAUUGUGAUAGCUCUGGAAAGUACAUGAAAAUGUAUAGAAUUGUGUUAAAGUCAUGGAAAGUGAAUAUGAUUUCUGUUUUUUGAGUUAUGCGCUGCUCUUAAUUAUUUAAUCGUCUAGAAAUUGUUCCAUAACGUGAUUUUUGAAACUGAUCAGUUGCACUGAAGCAAUGCGACACAUACCUUACAGUAUUUACUAAUUGCCAAACUUACAUUUUUUGAUUAUGUAUAACCCCGCAGCAUAAAAUCAGUCAUAAGGGUCAAUUUUUUCAAAACUGAGAUUUAUGCAUCAUCUGAAAGCUGAAUAAAUAAUCUCUCCAUUGAUGUAUGGUUUGUUAGGAGGACAAUAUUUGUCUGAGAUACAACUAUUUGAAAAUCUGGAAUCUGAGGGAGCAAAAAAAUCUAAAUAUUGAGAAAAUCAUCUUUAAAGUUGUUCAAAUGAAGUUCUUAACAAUGCAUAUUACUAAUCAAAAAUUAAGUUUUGAUAUAUUUACAGUAGGACAUUUACUAAAUAUCUUCAUGGAACAUGAUCUUUACUUAAUAUGCUAAUGAUUUUUGGUAUAAAAGAAAAAUCUAUAAUUUUGACCCAUACAAUGUAUUGUUGUCUAUUGCUACAAAUACACCCCAGAGACUUGAUUUUGUGCUCCAGGGACACAUAUGCAACAUUUAUUUACUUAAAAUUCUCUAAAAAGCAUUCAAAACCAAAACUAGCCCUUCUGUUAGCCCAGGGCCGUUUCGACAGUAUCGGCAAAUAUAUCAAUCUAUCACUACCAAAACACACUCACAGAAGCACACUUUGACGUCCCUCUCGGAUCCAUCCAUACGUCUUCAUCACUAAACCAUGUCAGCGUCACUCAAUACUCACACCUUACAGUAUUUACUAAGGCUAAGAGUCCCCACUUCUCAUGCAGUUACUAAAAAAAAGCUACAGAGUUCAUCUUUUUUGUUUCAUUUUUUUUUUUAGAAUAUGCUUGUUAAGUUUGCUUUUUAACUUUUUUUGUUGCUUUGCCAGUAUAUUAAAGUGUAAUCAUGUACGUUGUGAUUUAGAAAUAGCUGUAGAGAUGCAUUGUUUCCUUGUGGUAAGUGACUGAGAUGCUGCCACGGAUUUGAGACACUGAUGAAUGGUGCUAUUUUGGACUUUAAUCUGCUCCUUGGGUAAGGAAGCUCAGAUGGGUUUGAUUUUAUAUUUUCAUGUUCGGAGGAGGUGUUGGUUCUUUGUUGUCUGGUUGUCGUAACUCGGAUCGGAUCGACUUUACUCCCCCUUGUUGUUUCUGUGUGGCUUUCUCAUUGGACAGAAAAACAGAUUCGCCGAAGAGUUGGUGUUUGGUUUAGUUUUUUUUACUCCAAGAGGAUUACUUGCAAAAUUCUCAAACUAUAGACAGUCGGAGCAAUCACAAAACUGCAAUUCUCAACACUAUUUACCCUUUAAUGUAAAGGUUUAAUUCGAGGAGUAGUUACAGUUCCUGGCACUUUAGUCACUCUCAUACUUGCAGGACGGGGUAGCUUACGCAGCCGAUCUCACGUUUUUGUUCAGCGACGAACUUCUAAUAAAUCAAGGACACAUUCAUAUGUGUGAAACUCUGAGGAUGCAGCCGCUGUUGUAUUUUGCUGUGCACGGUCCCAGGUGACGGUGGUCUACAUAGUGUACAUAUACAAGGCAGCUGAGGUCAGAUUUAUCAUUCCACAGAAGUCUAACAAGGACAUAAACACUCAUCCGUUUAGCACACGGGGUCCUUCGAUGUAUUUUCAAAGGCAAAACAUGUAGCAGCAAAACCAACGCAGACGGUUUUGUGCAUGAGUUUCCUGGAUUUUAGGAUGAGAACCAAAAGUUUUAUAUUUAUUCAUUUAAGCAGCACAGUAUCGUCACUCGGUAUUUGCAGUUUUGUCUUUGCUUCCAGUUCACAUGCGUUUAAAAAUCCCAAUUCAGAGUCCGACUGGAAAGCCCACGUUAGUUUCUUAGUCUUCCAUUUAUUUUCCCACGACUCCCAGCUUGCUCUAGUCUCUCCUUUAGUGCUUACUGAUCGCAUGCUCUCUGCUCUUCCUUCUGUUUCUGAUCUGAAUGAUUCUCCUCGCGUUUCUUCUCAUAGAUUAGAUAUGCCAACUGUGUUGUAAAUAGCCAGUGAAUAGCUUAUAGUAUGUUGAAUUAUUCUGUAAUAACUGUGUAUGAUUGGUGUACAAAACAUGAAGUCUAGCCUUGUCAUCUUUAUAAGGAUGCACAGGUAUAUAUCAUGUUAUUUUGCAACUUAAGCUGUAGUUGAAUAAAUAUGCAAGCUCUCGUUAUUCUCAGUGUUGUUUAUUGCUCUUGUAAUUCAAAUCUUGCAUUAACGUUGAAAAGUUUUUUUUUUUU